AUAUGCAUAGUGCUUAGUGGUUAGCACGUUCGCCUCACACCUCCAGGGUCCGGGGUUCGAUGCCCUGUGUGGGCG